rnacentral:lncRNA from 1 species
CACAUCCACGUGAAAUUAGGGAAUCUCCCAACCACAAAUCUUUAAAGGGGGAGCAAAUGUCCUCAAGCCCUUGAGGUUCUAGAAACUCCUGAGUCUGUGUUCAAAGAGAAAGAAGCAAAAUGGAAAUUUAGAACAAAUUCUCCUCUCACAGAAGGACGAUGCCUCUUGUCAACUGAAAGUUCUAGGGAAAUGUCACAAAAUUCCCCCGGACCCUGGAGUUCUGUGGCUGGAUAUGGGAACUCUGGAAGUUUCCCUGAAGAGACUCAGAGCUGAUGGAGAGGGGAGAGAGCAAGCUUACAAGGGACUCUCAUAGGAAAUGCAACAAUAGCAGUGUUGUGCCCUGUGAGUGCUGCAAACAGGGUCCUCAGCAAGAGGGAAUAUGGGUAUGCCUAUGCUUGAGCUGUUCUGCCAUCUAAAUGUGCAUAAUGGAAAAAAAAAACCUUGUAUAAAAAUGUAAUAAAAUAGGUCUGUGAAUUCAGCCUUAAAAAAUCAUGUGCAUCUGGGUUUGGCCUGAAGCGGGGGGGAAAAAUCCCAUGAUCAUUUUGGUGGAGUUGGAUGAGGGGAGUGGUUAAACAGGUAUUUAUUAUUUGAUUUUGUAUUUUUCAAAAAGAUAAUAUUUAUUCAUUAUUAAAAAUUCAAGCAAUGUAUGUGUAAUGGUGUAUCAGGAUCUAGCUACAAGUAACAGUAAACUCAAUCAACAAUGGUUUUAAAAGAUGAAUAUUUGUUGUUAAUUACCAGGAAGCUUGAAAGUAGGAGGUUCUGGGCUUGGUUUUAGGACUCAGUAUCAACAAGAUCUCAGACUCCUUGCUCUUUCCACCCUGCUCUACUCGGUGUGUUGGUGAUGUCUCCCCUCAUGAUCACAAGACAGCUGCCACAGCUCCAGACAUCAGGACCUUAUGUCAGAGUCCCAAGCAGUAAGGAAGGGGAUGAUUAUGCGAAAGACAACCUUGUCUUCCUUUAUUAAAGAGAAAGGUAUUUCCCAGAAACCGUCCCCUUCCUCCAUAAAGCUGGAGGGACUUCUCUCCAAACCUUAGCUCUCCCACUUUAUCUCUCUGAGCCUCAACUUUCCCAUCCUGGAAAUGGGGAUAUAGUAAUAUCUGCUGUAUAGUGUGUUGUGAGAACUAAAUGAGGAAAUACUUCAUGUAUAGUAAGCACUCAGUCUCUUCCCAUUUCCCUGGCAGAUUCACCCCUCUUCGCCUUUCUUCAGCUUAUUCUGUGCUGCCUUGGAACUGCAACAAUGGUCUCCCUUUUCCUCUGGCUUUUGGUUGACUUGGCCAAUGGAAAGUAGCGACAGGAGGGCAGGAGGGAAGAGAGAGAAGUGGAGUAUUUAUUCCCCUAGCUCCGUGUCUGUGGGAUUGCCAAAGAAGGCUGCUUCUCUACUAGUGGCCACAGCUUCCCUCUGCCAGUGCCCCCUCCAGCUCCCCGGAAUGCCCAGAACAGCUCCCUGAGGUUACCAGCCCCAGGGAGCUGCACCCUUGCUUUUUCUAAACGUGCCCUCACCUUAAUAAGCAGUCUCUUCAUUAAACUCUUCUCCAAAUACCAGUUUGAGUGCAUCAUCUUUUCCUGUCAGCACCCAGACUGAUCCAAAACAUUCGCUUUUUUUUUCUUUUUCAAAGUAAAUUAUUUGCAAACUUCAAUAUUUUAUUAGUGUGACUUGACUCACACUUCAUGAUUAAGAAUCACCAGUCCAUUUGGUCAAAAAGUCGGUCAAGUGGGAUGUUUGAUUGAGCUGGCUGUUAUAAUCAUGAAUUAAAUUUAAAUCCUUGGGCCUCUGGCCAUAUCCUGAGGCACAAUAUCUUUUACGUGAUAAUGAUUUUGGGGAAAAAAAAAGAAAAAAAAAGACCCAAUUUUACAUUCACAUGCUCUGAACUCAGGGCUGUGUAUUCUUGACAUCCUUCAGUUAAAUAGAAAACACUGGGUUUUGAAACUGUAUUGAUUUCAGCAGGCAUAUAUUAUUUUACUGUAAGUACCAAUGUCUGUUGUACUUAAUAUACAAUGGAUUAAUUUAAAAUGCAUUAGUUUAAUAAAAAUGCAUAAAACAGAAUAGAAUUGCAUUAACUUCAAUAAAAAAUUCAAUUUCAUAAAUAUUAUCUCGUGUUAAAAUGCAUUGAUUUCCAGGAAAAUAUAUUGGUCAAAGGUAAUUUACAUUGGUUUGAAUGGAAAUGCGCCAGUCUCCAUACAUAUGUAUUAGUUUAGUCAAACGUAUCCAAUUGUGUAAAAUAUCAGUUAGGCUGAAAUGGAUUCCGACCCUGUUUGUUGUUGUUGUUGUUGUCUGAUUCUCUUUGGCUGAAUAAAUAUUUCCCAUCCUGGCUUUAGUGUGGCCCAGUGCAUGUGAAGGAAGACAGGUGGAUGAGCCCGAGGAACAUUUUGGUAACCCACUGGUUUGUGAGUGGACGUGCAGCAGUUAAGACUCCCUUGGUGACAGGUAAGGUGUGUUCACCUUCCCCACUGAGGCUGACUGUGAGGUAUGAGCUGGAGAUCCAAACAAAGGGCCCAGAAGUAAUACCUCCUGUCUCCAUGAGGCCUGACUGGAGCCACACCCAGACUAGGAAAAUGGAUGUAGUCCUUGACUAGGGCAGGGGUGCUGGAAGGGAGCUGUGAUAUCGAAGCAAAUGGGGACCAGAGCAGAAGGUAAGCUAGGCUCAGAGCUCAGGGUCAGCCGGGCACAGGAUCACA